UACGAAGGGGGCUAGCGUUGUUCGGAGUUACUGGGCGUAAAGGGCGCGUAGGCGGCGCACCAAGUCAGGCGUGAAAGCCCUGGGCUCAACCCGGGAACUGCGUUUGAAACUACAAGGCUAGAGUGUGACAGAGGGGGGUGGAAUUCCACGUGUAGCAGUGAAAUGCGUAGAGAUGUGGAGGAACACCGAUGGCGAAGGCAGCCCCCUGGGUUAACACUGACGCUCAGGCACGAAAGCGUGGGGAGCAAACAGG
rnacentral:rRNA from 1 species